rnacentral:rRNA from 1 species
AAUCAACGCUGGCGGCGUGCCUAACACAUGCAAGUCGCACGAGAAAGGGACUUCGGUCCUGAGUACAGUGGCGCACGGGUGAGUAACACGUGAAUAAUCUACCUUCGAGUGGGGAAUAACUGAGAGAAAUCUUAGCUAAUACCGCAUAAUACCUACGGGUCAAAGCAGCAAUGCGCUUGAAGAGGAGUUCGCGGCAGAUUAGUUAGUUGGCAGGGUAAUGGCCACCAAGACGAUGAUCUGUAUCCGGCCUGAGAGGGCGCACGGACACACUGGAACUGAAACACGGUCCAGACUCCUACGGGAGGCAGCAGUGGGGAAUUUUGCGCAAUGGGGGAAACCCUGACGCAGCAACGCCGCGUGGAGGAUGAAAUCCCUUGGGAUGUAAACUCCUUUCGAUCGGGAAGAUAAUGACGGUACCGAGAGAAGAAGCCCCGGCUAACUUCGUGCCA